AUUAUACCGUGAAACUGCGAAUGGCUCAUUAAAUCAGUUAUCGUUUAUUUGAUAGUACCUUACUACUUGGAUAACCGUGGUAAUUCUAGAGCUAAUACAUGCUGAAAACCCCAACUUCGGAAGGGGUGUAUUUAUUAGAUAAAAAACCAACGCCCUUCGGGGCUUCUUGGUGAUUCAUGAUAACUUUACGGAUCGCAUGGCCUUGCGCCGGCGACGGUUCAUUCAAAUUUCUGCCCUAUCAACUUUCGAUGGUAAGGUAUUGGCUUACCAUGGUUUCAACGGGUAACGGGGAAUUAGGGUUCGAUUCCGGAGAGGGAGCCUGAGAAACGGCUACCACAUCCAAGGAAGGCAGCAGGCGCGCAAAUUACCCAAUCCCGACACGGGGAGGUAGUGACAAUAAAUACUGAUACAGGGCUCUUUUGGGUCUUGUAAUUGGAAUGAGUACAAUUUAAACCUCUUAACGAGGAACAAUUAGAGGGCAAGUCUGGUGCCAGCAGCCGCGGUAAUUCCAGCUCUAAUAGCGUAUAUUAAAGUUGUUGCAGUUAAAAAGCUCGUAGUUGAACCUUGGGUCUGGCUGGCAGGUCCGCCUCACCGCGUGUACUUGUCCGGCCGGGCCUUCCUUCUGGAGAACCUCAUGCCCUUCACUGGGCGUGUUGGGGACCAGGACUUUUACUUUGAAAAAAUUAGAGUGUUCAAAGCAGGCCUUUGCUCGAAUACGUUAGCAUGGAAUAAUAGAAUAGGACGUGCGGUCCUAUUUUGUUGGUUUCUAGGACCGCCGUAAUGAUUAAUAGGGACAGUCGGGGGCAUCAGUAUUCAAUUGUCAGAGGUGAAAUUCUUGGAUUUAUUGAAGACUAACUACUGCGAAAGCAUUUGCCAAGGAUGUUUUCAUUAAUCAGUGAACGAAAGUUAGGGGAUCGAAGACGAUCAGAUACCGUCGUAGUCUUAACCGUAAACUAUGCCGACUAGGGAUCGGGCGAUGUUCUUUUUCUGACUCGCUCGGCACCUUACGAGAAAUCAAAGUUUUUGGG
rnacentral:rRNA from 1 species